UGGGGAAUCUUGCGCAAUGGGCGGAAGCCUGACGCAGCGACGCCGCGUGCGGGAGGAAGGCCCUCGGGUCGUAAACCGCUUUCAGCAGGGACGAGGCCGCAAGGUGACGGUACCUGCAGAAGAAGCCCCGGCUAACUACGUGCCAGCAGCCGCGGUAAUACGUAGGGGGCGAGCGUUAUCCGGAUUCAUUGGGCGUAAAGCGCUCGUAGGCGGCCUGCUAGGUCGGGAGUCAAAUGCGGGGGCCCAACCCCCGGCCGCUCCCGAUACCGGCGGGCUUGAGUUUGGUAGGGGAAGGCGGAAUUCCCGGUGUAGCGGUGGAAUGCGCAGAUAUCGGGAAGAACACCGGUGGCGAAGGCGGCCUUCUGGGCCACAACUGACGCUGAGGAGCGAAAGCUGGGGGAGCGAACAGG
rnacentral:rRNA from 1 species